CCCAAUCAGGGCCCGGCUCGGCAUCCACGCGCCGGACGCCCGCAAAUCCAAGCUUCUACCGGCAUCACUUGACUCUAACAGGCUGCCGGGAGCCUGAGGAGGUUUUUGGCAUGCAAACUAUGGAAGACGGUGGCGUUGUAGUUCGCAUUUUCGAGUUGCCCCGUUGCUCUGGUUGAUGGGUCUUGGUGUUCUAGUAAAAAACAAAAUAGAUACUUGAAGUCUGUCCGAGCAAUCCACCUUGCCAGCUCCAAGAUUAACACUGGUGAUACUUGCAGUAUCACAUUGGUGAUACUUGCAGUAUCACAUUGGUGAUACUUGCAGUGCCUGCACCACUCCUACAACCUUUAACUAACCUUUAACUAACCUAUUAGACAACAUUGUUGGUCUUCCAAAAACACUCGAGGCUGCCCUCCUAAUCUAGCUGUAUCUCGGACACUGAAGAGUGGGUAGAAUGGAAAACUAGACGAUCCCAUUUCACAGGAGUUGCAAGUAGCCAGGGUUACAUAGGUUGGGGAUAGGAACCUGGUUCCCCUGCACCAUGCUAGAAUUGUUUGCACUGGGUUAUCCUCUGUUACACUGGACUUACCAACAUAUCAUUGGAUAGCCAGGACUGAACACCCAACUCUCCUUUCUACUGUGAACAGAGGAGAAAUGCACCAUUUGCUAUGGUACAUAUGUAAUUUGGAUAUUGUACUUGUGAAAAAGAAACUGCAGUAAACUAUUCACCAUUUCAGCAGCUAAUCUAAUCUGGAGCCAGACUGAUUUUGGGACAGGUGCAGUCUAACCUGGGUCACAUGAUGUGCAAUCAUAAAAUAGGGGAGAACCAAUAAAUGCUACCUUGAGCUCCUUGGAGGAAUGAUGGCAUAUAAAUGUAAUAAUAAAUUAUUUGAUUCAGACAUUA